rnacentral:lncRNA from 1 species
GGAGUUCGGAUCGGAUGGCUGAAGCUUGGUUGGGACGUCUGGUGGAGCAGAAUAGCUCUCUGUCUCAGCAAUUUAAGAGAAGCUCGGAUGUUUUCGAGGUUGCUGACGGGUUAACUGUUGUUGGGUGCCUUAGACAUUGAUGCUACAGACGGAAGUCAUCUGCUGUAGAAGCCCAGACGGAAACUUUCUAUUGGAGAAAUCUGACUGGAGUCUGAUUGCUAGAGAAGUCUGUCUGGAAUUUAUCUGAUGUAGAAGCUUGUCUGAAGACUGUCCGCUGGAGAGGUUCGGUUGCAUGUGGAAUUCGAUAGAAGGUCGAUCGAUAGUGGAAUUCAGAAGGUGCUGUGG